rnacentral:lncRNA from 1 species
AAAAACCCAAAUACAACCAACAGUGUAUAUCAGAUAAUAUAGUUCUCAAAUCAUUAAAAUUCUAAUUUGCUUCUUCAUGCAAUAAAAAGGCAAAAAUAUGAAAAACCAAAUCAAACGUGAUACACCAACACCAUCAGCAGCAGAACAAUAUCAAAACCCAUAUUACAAUAGCAGAACAAAAUGCUCUGCAUAAUUAGUUGAUACCCAAUUCAACAGCAGCAGCAAAGAAUCUUUGUCGUCGAUUCAAAAUCGCAAAACCCCAUAACCCAAACUCUUAAAACCUAACUAUACAAAAUAAUCCUUGCCAACCCCAGAGCUAAAUAGUUAUAAGGAUAUGAGUUGCAAAAAUACCUUGCGUUGCGAUUGCGGCUUGCUAACCUUGCGAGCAACAGAAUUCGUCCUCAACGAGCUUGGUGUGGAGAUGGCCGCUCGUGAAUGAGAAGACAAGGAGAAGAAAGCUGCGAUGGCCGAAGAAUGAUUGAGGAAUAAAAAUGAGCUUAGGAAUUCGAAGGGGAGAUGCGAUGUGGGAUUUGGGCUACUGCGAAGAAGGAAGGAGGAGAAGAAGGAAGAUGAGACGAAACGGUGAGUAUGGUGUCAAAACGGUGCGUUUUGAUACCUUGGGUUAAGUUAACCCAAUAAUGAUUAGACUCACUUUAAUAUUUUUUUUUUUUAUUUAAAACCCUAGCAGAAUUUGCAUUUAGGAUGGUAUUAAUACAAACUUUUCAAUUUGGAGUGCUAUGCAUGAAUGUCAAUUUAGAGUGAUUCUCCAACAAUUCGCAUGAAUCAAUGUUUUUUAUAGAUUAAACCACUGGAUUAAUCAGCUUAUAUGUAUAUAUCCUUCACCCAAUCCUCCCUGUCUCUCCGCUCCUAAUUGCAAGGCCGAAC